CUGGCUCAGGAUGAACGCUAGCUACAGGCUUAACACAUGCAAGUCGAGGGGCAGCAUUGGGAUAGCUUGCUAUUCAGAUGGCGACCGGCGCACGGGUGAGUAACGCGUAUCCAACCUUCCUGCCAGUAGGGAACAGCCCGGCGAAAGUCGGAUUAAUGCCCUAUGUUCUUCAAUGCGGACAUCUAAGUUGAAGGAAAGAUUCAUCGCUGGCAGAUGGGGAUGCGUCCGAUUAGCUUGCCGGCGGGGUAACGGCCCACCGGGGCGACGAUCGGUAGGGGUUCUGAGAGGAAGGUCCCCCACACUGGUACUGAGACACGGACCAGACUCCUACGGGAGGCAGCAGUGAGGAAUAUUGGUCAAUGGGCGUAAGCCUGAACCAGCCAAGUAGCGUGCAGGACGACGGCCCUACGGGUUGUAAACUGCUUUUAUGCGGGGAUAAAGUGCGGCACGUGUGCCGCUUUGCAGGUACCGCAUGAAUAAGGACCGGCUAAUUCCGUGCCAGCAGCGGC
rnacentral:rRNA from 1 species